UCCCAUGUGGUCUAUUGUUUAUGAUUCCUGGCUCUCACCCAGGCGUCCUGGGUUCGAUUAACGGCUUGGGAA